AAAAAGGCAAAAUGUGGGUUCCUGUGCCAACGUUUGACUAUCCGUCUUAUAUGAAAUUUUUUUAUAGUUAGUAUUUUUAUUUUUUUAUAGUUAGUAUUUUCAUUGUUGUUAGAUGAUAAAACAUGAUAAAUACUUUAUGUGUGACUUAUCUUUUUAAUUUUUUUUCAUAACUUUUUUAAAUAAGACGAACGGUCAAACGUUGUAUACGGAAACC
rnacentral:pre_miRNA from 1 species